rnacentral:rRNA from 1 species
GAGUUUGAUCAUGGCUCAGAAUGAACGUUGGCGGCGUGGAUUAGGCAUGCAAGUCGAACGAAUCCCAGGAGCUUGCUCCUGGGGGAAGUGGCGAAAGGGGCAGUAAGGCGUGGGUAACCUACCCUGGGGACGAGGAUAGCCGUGCUAACGCGCGGGUAAUACUCGGCGAUUCGGCGAAAGGACAUCCUUUUGCCGGGAAAUGAGUUUCGCCUCGGGAGGGGCUCACGUGAUAUUAGCUUGUUGGUGAGGUAACGGCUCACCAAGGCAAAGAUGUCUAGCGGGUGUGAGAGCACGACCCGCGCCACUGGCACUGAGACACUGGCCAGACUCCUACGGGAGGCUGCAGUCGAGGAUCUUCGGCAAUGGGCGCAAGCCUGACCGAGCGACGCCGCGUGUGCGAUGAAGGCCUUCGGGUUGUAAAGCACUGUCGAGGGGGAGGAAGCCGCAAGGUUGACCUAUCCCUGGAGGAAGCACGGGCUAAGUUCGUGCCAGCAGCCGCGGUA